GACCCGUUACCCGGGUUGCGGACAGUGUCUGGUGGGUAGUUUGACUGGGGCGGUCUCCUCCUAAAGAGUAACGGAGGAGCACGAAGGUUGGCUAAUCCUGGUCGGACAUCAGGAGGUUAGUGCAAUGGCAUAAGCCAGCUUGACUGCGAGCGUGACGGCGCGAGCAGGUGCGAAAGCAGGUCAUAGUGAUCCGGUGGUUCUGAAUGGAAGGGCCAUCGCUCAACGGAUAAAAGGUACUCCGGGGAUAACAGGCUGAUACCGCCCAAGAGUUCAUAUCGACGGCGGUGUUUGGCACCUCGAUGUCGGCUCAUCACAUCCUGGGGCUGAAGUAGGUCCCAAGGGUAUGGCUGUUCGCCAUUUAAAGUGGUACGCGAGCUGGGUUUAGAACGUCGUGAGACAGUUCGGUCCCUAUCUGCCGUGGGCGCUGGAGAACUGAGGGGGGCUGCUCCUAGUACGAGAGGACCGGAGUGGACGCAUCACUGGUGUUCGGGUUGUCAUGCCAAUGGCACUGCCCGGUAGCUAAAUGCGGAAGAGAUAAGUGCUGAAAGCAUCUAAGCACGAAACUUGCCCCGAG
rnacentral:rRNA from 1 species